CUUCUCUACCUCUUUGCUCUCUCUAAGUGCAUACACAGACAGAAAGGAAAACUUGGUAGCCACUUUUACUCGUGAUUUUGGUCGAUUUGGAGUUGGAUUUCGAAGAUGAUGAAGUUGAAGAAAAGAUAGAUUAAGGCAUAAUUUUAGCAUUUGAAGGAGUCAUUUGGAGUCAUUUAAAGCUUGAGGAGUAGGAUUUGCAUUGCGAAAGUGAACUACGAAGUUGAAGAUCAAGAUAAAAUAAUUCAUCUUAGUAGCAAACAAGGAGGAGAUGACGUGAUUGAAGAAAUUGUGUUUCUAUCUUCGCUGUCCCUUUUGAGGUUGACUCAGUUCAUAUAGUACUGGCGACGGAAAUUUAUUCGAACUAUUUGGACUCUUAAUUGCAUUCGCAAGCACAUCCAUAUUGAAGCUAAGGUAUAAAAUGACACCAUAAUUUUGUUAAUAUUUUUUAUAUUGAUGUACUAUUGUGAAUAAUGUGCAUGCCGCUGCAAA